rnacentral:rRNA from 1 species
GACGAACGCUGGCGGCGUGCUUAACACAUGCAAGUCGAACGGAAAGGCCCUGCUUUUGUGGGGUGCUCGAGUGGCGAACGGGUGAGUAACACGUGAGUAACCUGCCCUUGACUUUGGGAUAACUUCAGGAAACUGGGGCUAAUACCGGAUAGGAGCUCCUGCUGCAUGGUGGGGGUUGGAAAGUUUCGGCGGUUGGGGAUGGACUCGCGGCUUAUCAGCUUGUUGGUGGGGUAGUGGCUUACCAAGGCUUUGACGGGUAGCCGGCCUGAGAGGGUGACCGGCCACAUGGGGACUGAGAUACGGCCCAGACUCCUACGGGAGGCAGCAGUGGGGAAUAUUGCACAAUGAGCGGAAGCCUGAUGCAGCAACGCCGCGUGCGGGAUGACGGCCUUCGGGUUGUAAACCGCUUUCGCCUGUGACGAAGCGUGAGUGACGGUAAUGGGUAAAGAAGCACCGGCUAACUACGUG